UACCCGACUACCCUAAUUGGAUACGUUCAUUACUCUCGUUCUCGUUUUGUCUCACCCUCGUUCUUCUCUUCUCUUCGUUCACGGAUCCAUCGUUCAAGCCAUCGGCGAUCUUCUCUGCCGGCGUCUCCUUUCUCCGUCUCCGAUCAGGUUUAGAAUUGUUUGCAUCUACCAUCAAAUUGGUGGAGUGUUGCAUAUUCUAUAUGGAAAAAGUUGAUGAAGAUGCUAACCUUGAGUUUAAGUGGCUUAUAAAGAAAGGCCGUGGUGGUAAAAAUAAAGAGGUUCAAUUUUAUGGAUCUUUCAUAUACGACGGAGUGGAGUAUGUGUUAUAUGAUUGUGUGUAUAUGUACAAGGAAGGUUUACGAGAACCUUAUAUUGGCAAGUUGACAAAAAUAUGGGAGAAUGCUGACAAGUCAAAGAAAGUUAAAGUCCAUUGGUUUUUUCGCCCAGAAGAGAUCUCUAAGUGGCUUGGAGAUACAAAGACUCUCGAGAAUGAAAUUCUUUUUGCCUCCGGUGAAGGUGUUGGUCUAACCAACAUUAGUCCUUUGGAAGCCAUUGCUGGUAAAUGCAAUGUUGUUUGUGUGUCAAAGGACUCGAGGAAUCCUCAACCUUCAGAUGAAGAACUUAAAGCAGCAGACUUCAUCUUUUAUCGUACUUUUGAUGUUGAAAGCUGUACAAUAUUGGAUAACAUGGAUGAAGAAAAAAUCGGUGGGAUUGAAAUUAAACACAUAUUUAACAGAAGGGAGGAUGAAAGCAUCAGCACUCUCCCUGAAACUAAUACUACCUCUACUUACAAAAAGGAGGAAAACCAUAACACCAUUACCCUUACUACUAGUAGUGAACCAAAGCAACUGCUUUUAACAAAAACCCUGCCUAACACUAACAACCUUAAAGAUGAUGAUGCUCAAGACAAAAAUAUUCCAAUUUUGGCAGCUGAAACAACAUCUGUAGCUCUUUUAGAAAAAACAAAUCCCAAAAUAGAUGAAAAAGCUGAUAAGGAUGCGAUGGAAGCUAACAAGAGAAAGAAGAGCUCUACUACAGGAUCUGAUAAAUUACAUGAGCAGCCCUCGAAGAAAAUGAAACUUGACGAUAAAAACCCUCCCAAGGAAAAACAGGUUGAAGUAGUAGAAGUUGAUCGGGAUUCUGUGGGAUUGAAGGAUGUGAUGCCCUCCAAGAAAUCCAAGGUUGACAAUAAUGUGAGGACAGGUGGCAAAAAUUCAGACAUAGGUAAAACUGAUACUUCUGUUGUUAAAACUGACAAGGAUAAUUUGAAGUCGAGUAAAGAGAAAGAUGAGACAAAAGUGAGUAAAGUCUCUAAGGAGAGAAAAAAGACUCCAAUGGAAUCAGAUAAAUUAGAUGAUCGACCCUUAAAGAAAAUGAAGUCUAAAUUAGUUGCCAAUGAAAAACAAAAACAAGUUGAGGUUGAAGGCGAAAAGAUUGAGAAAUUGACGGAUUUGCCUUCCAAGAAAUCUAAAGUUGAAGAUAAGUCAGCACCCAAUGAAAAACAAAAACAUGUUGAUGUUGUAGGUGAAAAGAUUGAGAAAUUGACGGAUUUGCCCUCCAAGAAAUCAAAAGAUGAAGUUAAGUCACCUCGCAAUGAAAAACCAAAACAGGUUGAGGUCGAAGGUGAAAAGAUUGAGAAAUUGACGGAUUUGCCCUCCAAGAAAUCUAAAGUUGAAGAUAAGUCAGCACCCAAUGAAAAACAAAAACAGGUUGAGGUUGAAGGUGAAAAGAUUGAGAAAUUGAAAUCUAAAGUUGAAGAUAAGUCAGCACCCAAUGAAAAACAAAAACAUGUUGAUGUUGUAGGUGAAAAGAUUGAGAAAUUGACGGAUUUGCCCUCCAAGAAAUCAAAAGAUGAAGUUAAGUCACCUCGCAAUGAAAAACAAAAACAGGUUGAGGUUGUAGGUGAAAAGAUUGAGAAAUCGACGGGUUUGCCCUCCAAGAAAUCAAAAGAUGAAGUUAAGUCAGCUCGCAAUGUGAAUAAUUUGGGAACAUCAGGCACACAAGAAGAAAAAGCAAACGGAAAUAAUAAUAAUAAUAAUAAGGGAAAGAUUUCAGAUGAAUUGGAAGGCAGGAGAUUGAAGAAAACAAAGGCUGAAGGUUCUUUUAAGAUACCAGAUAAUAAGAAAAACAGCUCUAUCAUUAAUUCCAAUGGAAGUAAUGGGAAGAAUUUGUUAGUAGCAAGUGAAGGAAAAUCAAAAUCUAUUGUUGUUGGGACUAAUAAUAAUAUUAAUAAAGAGAAUCAAUCUGAAUCCAAUGAGAACAAAAAGAAGCUUUCCAUGAGCCAAUCACCCAAGGACAUGUACAAGGAGUUCGUUGUUGGUCCAAAACCAAAUGCUGAUGAAAGUGGUUGGUUUGAGCGACUCCCUUGGGAGCAAAGUUUAAAGAGUGCAUAUGAUCAAGGAUCAGCCAUACUGCUUCAUAAUGUUGAUCCAGACUAUACUUCAGGAGAAGUUGAGGAUCUAGUUUGGCAUGCUUUUACGGAAAACUGUGAAGCCAAGAUUCUACCACACUCUGUAAUAUCUAGCCCACACUGUUAUCAAGCUCUUGUUCUACUCAAGACAAAGGAAGCAGCACAAAGGGUCCUUGCAAAACUAGAUGAAGACUGCUUGAUGUUAUCAAAUGGGAGGCCUCUUGUUGGUACCCCUUGUCCUCCAAUCAUACCAAGAAAAACUUGCAAGUUUUUUGGCCAUCUUUCUAUUGAUAGGAUUAAAAUCAAUCAACGUGAGAUGGAAGAAGCAGUAUCCACAUCACAUUUUUCACAACCAAAUACUAUUGAAUAUGACAUGGCCAUGGAGUGGUUUUUAAUGCAAUCAAAGUCCAAAAAAUGGUGGGAGAUGAUUUACAAGCUUCAAGGAAAUGAGGUAAGCGAGGUGGAGGAGAAGCUUGUAAAAAAAUGAGCACAGCAGGGAGUUUGAUUUUGAUGAAACAUGCUUCUGCAAAAGGAGUGGGUUUGUUGAUAGUUUAGAAAUAGUUUUGAGGAAAAAAUUAGGGUUUGUACAGCACCACCUUGAAGGAAGGAGCCACGGACGAUGGAUACCUGGUAGUUCCCAGAUGAUAGCUGGUGGUAACAUGUAUUUUGAUGGAUCCUUAUUGAAUCCACUUGCUUUUUGUGGGAUCCAAAAAUGGUAUCUACCAUUUUUUUUUCUUUUUAUCUCUAUAUUUACUUUUUAACUUUUUUCUUUUUUCCUUUAUUUAACAUCCUUCACCAAAAUGGUCAUUCUUUCUUUACUUGGUAACGUGAUGGUAGAGGCUUCAAAGUCCUCCUUGGGAGAAAUGUGAAGAUUAGUUGGUGUGCGAGUUAACCAUUAAAAGAAAAAAAAAAUCAUGAUUAGUGCUUGUUAA